rnacentral:rRNA from 1 species
AUUGAACGCUGGCGGCAGGCCUAACACAUGCAAGUCGAGCGGAUGAAGGGAGCUUGCUCCUGGAUUCAGCGGCGGACGGGUGAGUAAUGCCUAGGAAUCUGCCUGGUAGUGGGGGAUAACGUCCGGAAACGGGCGCUAAUACCGCAUACGUCCUGAGGGAGAAAGUGGGGGAUCUUCGGACCUCACGCUAUCAGAUGAGCCUAGGUCGGAUUAGCUAGUUGGUGGGGUAAAGGCCUACCAAGGCGACGAUCCGUAACUGGUCUGAGAGGAUGAUCAGUCACACUGGAACUGAGACAGGGUCCAGACUCCUACGGGAGGCAGGAGUGGGGAAUAUUGGACAAUGGGCGAAAGCCUGAUCCAGCCAUGCCGCGUGUGUGAAGAAGGUCUUCGGAUUGUAAAGCACUUUAAGUUGGGAGGAAGGGCAGUAAGUUAAUACCUUGCUGUUUUGACGUUACCAACAGAAUAAGCACCGGCUAACUUCGU